UGUAAGCGUAUACCAAAGUUGUUGCAGUUAAAACGCUCGUAGUCGGAUUUUGGCAGUUCCGGAUGUGUGCACGUCGUGUGCGCACUUCGCGGGGAUUGCUUUUGUGGUCUUGCGUAGGAUGAGGCACUUUUAUUAGUGAACGUCCUCACGCAACCACUUUUUACUGUGAGAAAAUCAGAGUGCUCAAAGCAGGCAUUUGCCGUGAAUGUAUUAGCAUGGAAUAAUAGAAUAGGACUUGGUUCUAUUUUGUUGGUUUGUUGGGACUGAGUAAUGAUUAAGAGGGACAGUUGGGGGCAUUUGUAUUUCGGUGCUAGAGGUGAAAUUCUUAGAUUACCGAAAGACAAACUGCUGCGAAAGCGUCUGCCAAGGAUGUUUUCAUUGA
rnacentral:rRNA from 1 species